rfam:Rattus norvegicus chromosome 2, whole genome shotgun sequence.
GCAUUGGUGGUUCAAUGGUAGAAUUCUCGCCUCCCAUGCGGGUGAUCCGGGUUCGAUUCCCGGCCAAUGCA